AUUGAACGCUGGCGGAAUGCUUUACACAUGCAAGUCGAACGGCAGCACGGGGGCAACCCUGGUGGCGAGUGUCGAACGGGUGAGUAAUACAUCGGAACGUGCUCGGCCGUGGGGGAUAACGUAGCGAAAGAUACGCUAAUACCGCAUACGAUCUGAGGAUGAUAGCGGGGGACCUUUGGGCCUCGCGCGAUGGGAGCGGCCGAGGCCAGAUUAGUUAGUUGGUGGGGUAAAGCCCUACCAAGCCGACGAUCUGUAGCUGGUCUGAGUGGGCGACCAGCCGCCCUGGGACUGAGACACGGCCAAGAGUCCUACGGGAGGCAGCAGUGGGGUAUUUUGGACAAUAGGCGGAAGCAUGAUCCAGCCGUACCGCGUGCGGGACGAAGGCCUUCGGGUUGUAAACUGCGUUUGUAUGGAGCGAAAAGGCUUUGGCUAAUACCUGGGGCUCAUGACGGUACCGUAAGAAUAAGCACCGGCUAACUACGUG
rnacentral:rRNA from 1 species